rnacentral:rRNA from 1 species
CGCUGGCGGCGUGCUCAUACAUGCAAGUCGAACGAUAAGGCCCCUUCGGGGGUACAUAAGUGGCGGACGGGUGAGUAAAAUGUAGAGAAUCUGCCCUUAAGCGGGGGACAACAGAGGGAAACUUCUGCUAAUACCCCAUAUGAGCGUAUCUGAAAUGGUAUUCUUGAAAAACUCCGGUGCUUAAGGACGAGUCUGCAUCUGAUUAGCUAGUUGGGGGUGUAAUGGACCACCAAGGCGACGAUCAGUAGCUGGUUUGAGAGGAUGAUCAGCCACAAUGGGACUGAGACACGGCCCAUACUCCUACGGGAGGCAGCAGUAGGGAAUUUUGCGCAAUGGGGGAAACCCUGACGCAGCAACGCCGCGUGACCGAUGAAGCCCUUCGGGGUGUAAAGGUCUGUCAGUGGGGACGAAACUUGACGGUACCCACAGAGGAAGCAUCGGCUAACUCCGUGCCAGCCGCCGC